rnacentral:rRNA from 1 species
AGUGUAGGCGGUCAAGCAAGUCAGAGGUGAAAGGCAUCGGCUCAACCGAUGUGAGCCUUUGAAACUGUUUGACUUGAGUGCAGGAGAGGUAAGUGGAAUUCCUAGUGUAGCGGUGAAAUGCGUAGAUAUUAGGAGGAACACCAGUGGCGAAGGCGACUUACUGGACUGUAACUGACGCUGAGGCUCGAAAGCGUGGGGAGUGAACA